UGGGGAAUAUUGGACAAUGGGCGAAAGCCUGAUCCAGCCAUGCCGCGUGUGUGAAGAAGGUCUUCGGAUUGUAAAGCACUUUAAGUUGGGAGGAAGGGCAGUAAGCGAAUACCUUGCUGUUUUGACGUUACCGACAGAAUAAGCACAGGCUAACUCUGUGCCAGCAGCCGCGGUAAUACAGAGGGUGCAAGCGUUAAUCGGAAUUACUGGGCGUAAAGCGCGCGUAGGUGGUUCGUUAAGUUGAAUGUGAAAGCCCCGGGCUCAACCUGGGAACUGCAUCCAAAACUGGCGAGCUAGAGUAGGGCAGAGGGUGGUGGAAUUUCCUGUGUAGCGGUGAAAUGCGUAGAUAUAGGAAGGAACACCAGUGGCGAAGGCGACCACCUGGGCUCAUACUGACACUGAGGUGCGAAAGCGUGGGGAGCAAACAGG
rnacentral:rRNA from 1 species